rnacentral:snoRNA from 1 species
AACAUCAUUUUAACUCGCUCACACUGGCCCUACCUUUAAUAUUCAGCGGGGAAAGACAACACCCGAGUUUCCCCAGGUUUUCAGGGCCGGUAAGAAGCGUAGAGUAAAUUACAGAUCGUUGCUGGGCGCCCUGUGUUGAUUUUCCUCGGAAAAUAGGAGACACUGGGAAUCAGCUGAUUCUACAUUU